GGCCAGCAGCAGCGGUGGAUGCGGUCGGUCUCUCCUCCUCCGCACGUUGAAGCGAGCAAGUGCAGCAACGGCAUGCCUUCCUCCGUCAAACGUGAGCACCGGUUCGACAAGGAGGCUUCGACGAUGGUGAUCGGGAGUUCAGCGGAUGAUUAAUAACUUGGUGAUCGCGCAACAUAACACAAGGAACAACGCGACUCAGUGGUAUGAUGCUUGGAUGUUAGGCUUGAGGGCUCGGGUUCGACUCCAGGGCUAAGCAGUAUGUUUUAAGGUUCACGAUUAUGAACCGAGCUUUGAGUUUGGUGUUGCUAUGGGUUAAGUACGCUUUUGGAUUAAAUACGCUUCAAAGGUAUGGAGUAGUUAUGCGAGAGCGCGCUAGAGCUUUUUCCUAUGAGGAUGUUUAGCCUUAGUUGGUUUUGUUUAGACUUUGAGUUGUUGGGCCUGUGUGCCGUUGAGACAUUAUGAUACUCUUGUUAGUGAUUUG